rnacentral:rRNA from 1 species
GAGAAGCUUGCUUCUCUGAUGUUAGCGGCGGACGGGUGAGUAACACGUGGAUAACCUACCUAUAAGACUGGGAUAACUUCGGGAAACCGGAGCUAAUACCGGAUAAUAUUUUGAACCGCAUGGUUCAAAAGUGAAAGACGGUCUUGCUGUCACUUAUAGAUGGAUCCGCGCUGCAUUAGCUAGUUGGUAAGGUAACGGCUUACCAAGGCAACGAUGCAUAGCCGACCUGAGAGGGUGAUCGGCCACACUGGAACUGAGACACGGUCCAGACUCCUACGGGAGGCAGCAGUAGGGAAUCUUCCGCAAUGGGCGAAAGCCUGACGGAGCAACGCCGCGUGAGUGAUGAAGGUCUUCGGAUCGUAAAACUCUGUUAUUAGGGAAGAACAUAUGUGUAAGUAACUGUGCACAUCUUGACGGUACCUAAUCAGAAAGCCACGGCUAACUACGUGCCAGCAGCCGCGGUAAUACGUAGGUGGCAAGCGUUAUCCGGAAUUAUUGGGCGUAAAGCGCGCGUAGGCGGUUUUUUAAGUCUGAUGUGAAAGCCCACGGCUCAACCGUGGAGGGUCAUUGGAAACUGGAAAACUUGAGUGCAGAAGAGGAAAGUGGAAUUCCAUGUGUAGCGGUGAAAUGCGCAGAGAUAUGGAGGAACACCAGUGGCGAAGGCGACUUUCUGGUCUGUAACUGACGCUGAUGUGCGAAAGCGUGGGGAUCAAACAGGAUUAGAUACCCUGGUAGUCCACGCCGUAAACGAU